rnacentral:rRNA from 1 species
GAUGAACGCUGGCGGCGUGCCUAAUACAUGCAAGUCGAGCGAACGGACGAGAAGCUUGCUUCUCUGAUGUUAGCGGCGGACGGGUGAGUAACACGUGGAUAACCUACCUAUAAGACUGGGAUAACUUCGGGAAACCGGAGCUAAUACCGGAUGAUAUUUUGAACCGCAUGGUUCAAAAGUGAAAGACGGUCUUGCUGUCACUUAUAGAUGGAUCCGCGCUGCAUUAGCUAGUUGGUAAGGUAACGGCUUACCAAGGCAACGAUGCAUAGCCGACCUGAGAGGGUGAUCGGCCACACUGGAACUGAGACACGGUCCAGACGCCUACGGGAGGCAGCAGUAGGGAAUCUUCCGCAAUGGGCGAAAGCCUGACGGAGCAACGCCGCGUGAGUGAUGAAGGUCUUCGGAUCGUAAAACUCUGUUAUUAGGGAAGAACAUAUGUGUAAGUAACUGUGCACAUCUUGACGGUACCUAAUCAGAAAGCCACGGCUAACUACGU